GGCGCUAUCGUCUAGUCUGGUCCAGGACAUCUGGUUCUCAGCCAGAAGACUGGGGUUCAAAUCCCCAUAGCGCUA
rfam:Candidatus Cloacimonas sp. 4484_209 ex4484_209_scaffold_14831, whole genome shotgun sequence.